CUCCUCUGCUGUUCUCAAACUUUCUCUCCGAUCUCCACGACUUCUUGAAUCAUUGAGCCUCUCAAUCAAGGUUAUAAUUAAGGGUUUCAUGUCGGGGUUGAAAAAGGAGGAGGGGGACAGGAGACAACGACAAUCGUGGGGGGUUCCAUUAUUAGAUCAGAACGGAUGGAGAUGAAAGCUAGGUGGUUGCAUAACUACAGAUGGCGAGAUGGAAGAAACAAUGGAGAAGAAUAACAAUCUGGAACCCAAUUGAAAGGCAGCGACAAGAUCUGGUGUAGGGAAGGUAUAUGUUUUUUUCAGGGCUUUAUCUAAUAAACUCUCCUUCAAAUACUAUUUAUUUGCAAGGUAGAGGAUCCACUACAAAAUGGGACCUCUGACUUCACAAGAGAUUAAAAAUUUCAGAUAACAGCAAGGAAAUUAUUAAUGGUAUCACCAUUCAUUGCAGCAAAUCGACUUCUUGCUUUAUGUAUGUGUACUUUCAUAGUAGUUUUGGGAUAUUAGAUCAUGAUAUAGAGUAGUCAAUUAUUAGUGUAGAGAAUAUUUGUUACCGAUAGCAACUCAAGUUUUCUUUUGUGAAGAUACAUGGAACUACUACAGUGUAUUAUAACUUCCACUUAGAAAUAUCGAGAUGCUUUUAUAUUGGAAA